rnacentral:lncRNA from 1 species
AUGGCUCCUGUAGAAAAUACAGAUCUGUCAUUCCAUUUGAAUGGCAUAAUGCCAUACACAUCUACUAAACAUUUUUUUUUUUUUUUUUACAUCCAACUUACUUUGAACAAUGGUCUUCAGGAACAUGUCUCUAAAACAUGCUUUAUCCCCAACUCCAGUCCAGGUUGUAUUGAUGGAAAGUAUACCUUCAUAGCUGAAAACUUCAUGCUGUACACGAGAUGCCAGGGGAGUCCAAGGGCCAAUUACAGAGCGAUGACUUUCUCCUAUUGAUAAUCAUUGACGUAAAAAUAUGUUUGAAGUUAUUGCAUACAUUUAAUGAAUUGGACUUAAAAUGGAACACUUAGUUUAGCGCAACAUAUUACAUACCUUUAAAGCCAAAACAAUUGUCCAACAGUAGGUCUCUUGUGUGAAGUUAACCAGUUAUGCUCCGGUCAAGGUAUCUGCAAGAACCUAUCCCCUGUGUGCCUUGGCAGUCUCACCCUUAAAUCCUAGAAGUACAGUAGCAACAGCACGUGCUAGCUAACACUUGCUAGUCACUGUAGCUACAUUGUGAGCUGAACUAGCAGCAUACUUUGAUCUGACAAACAAAAUAAUUUAAACAACCAUCAUUCUGCUUUGAUAGAAAACACCAAAUAAUUUAAGUUAUACUUAAGUCUUUCUAGAUGUAAAGCUUUGGAUACCUACUGUAGCUAGUUACAUUUCUACAUGUAAUGUAACUAGCAACAUUGCUUAACCUCAGUGUGUAAGUUACUGUAACAAAGUCAAAACAGCAUGUGUUAGCUAACAAUUGCUAGCCACUCUAGCUACUGGACUAGCAGCUACUUGUUCAGACUAGUAAGGCAAGUUUAAAGAUGACUACAGAUUUUACAAAGAUAAACUAAAAAAAAUGUAAACAUAAUAUUGCGUUAAGGAAACAUGUACUUACUUAAACGAUGGUAGUCCACAGAAACUCGCGAUUGAGCGGCGAACUGAUGCGAAUGUGUGCUCUAGUUAUGUUGUUUGGGGAGGGGCCAGGAGCUCAGUGGCUCCAGUGCGUCAUCGAGCCACCGUUUUAGCUCCGCCCAAAAAAAAAUCCUGAACACAGGCAAAUUAAUACCCUUAAUACAAUGUAAUAAAGUAAAAAACAAAAAUAAAAAAAAAAAAAAAAAAUACGAGGUUGGAAAAAAAUGAAAGACAUAAAAUGACAUUUCCUGGAAUGGCAGAAAGACGAAAUAUUUCUAAAUAUUUCAUAAAUCUGCCAGUGCAGCUGUGAAACCAGAGGAGCUUUUAGAUUUUAGUUUAUCCUUCUUAUCAGGUCAAAACAGAGAUUUUCCUGUUUAUGAUAGGCUAUUACCAUGGUUGCAAAUUAAUAAAAAAUUAUAAAGUAUAGACCUACCCAAGAUUUUGGCCAUGUUGCAGAUGUCUUUCACUGUUCACUGAUGUAGCCAGGCAUUAGUGAAAAGUCUAAUCCUUCUUAUCAGGUCAAAACAGAGAUUUUCCUGUUUAUGAUAGGCUAUUACCAUGGUUGCAAAUUAAUAAAAAAUUAUAAAGUAUAGACCUACCCAAGAUUUUGGCCAUGUUGCAGAUGUCUUUCACUGUUCACUGAUGUAGCCAGGCAUUAGUGAAAAGUCUAACUUCAUCAAUUUAUUCAGCUAAAUUGUUCAUACCAUGAAUUAAAUAUCUAUUUUAAAACCUAAUCAGAAUCAGAAAGAUAUUUAUUGCCAAGUAAGUUUUACAAAAGGAAUUAUUUUUGGUUUAUGCAUGUCUCAAUUGUGCAUAAAUCAAAGAAAUGUAAACAAUUUUCACCUAAGUGCAUAAAAUAAUUUUACAUAUAGCCUAUUAGGCUACUCUAUCGCUUCAGAGUUUCAAAGUAAUUUAAAUGUCAUUUCCUAAACCUUACCUUAUCAUGGAAUCAAGAGUCAAGAAUAAACCCUAAUGGCUUUAAUAAUAAUAAUAAUAAUAAUAAUAAUAUGGGAUUUAAUUCACAUAUAGGCUAUUAUGAUUUUAUAAUCGCUUCAUAUGUGAAAAGUAGUUAAAAUGUUGUCAGUUCCACUUCCAUUCUAACUCCCAACAUGCUAAGCAUAGCCUUGGCUGCUGGUCGAUUUUAGUAGAAAUCCUUGUAUUUCAAAGCGGCUUGCCGCCAGCCGGCCGCGGUCCAUUAGACGGAGGCAACCGCCAAAGAAAAUGAAGCAGUCAGCCCGCCGGCUUUUCGCCGGCGGCAUCUCGCAAGAAAUGGGAGUGACGUAUUCGGCGGCGAAACGUUUCAGCUCGUCUGCUUGUUCUGUUUCUAUGCUAGAUAUUUUUUGUUGUGUAGUUUCUACAAAACUAGAAGUCAAACCAUUCUGUUUUUGCUUCAAAUUUCUAAAUUCUACAAUCUAAUUUAGAUUAAAACCUGCUCAUGUUGCAUGUAUGCAGCAUCUUUGUUUGGAUCGUGAUUAAAAUGCAGUGGUUGCCUCUAAUUUUAAAAGGAAAGAGCACAGACAAAGCCUUGUUUUGUUUAUAUGAAGAGACUUAUUUUAUUUUUGUUAUUUAUUUGAUUUGGGGCUUGUUUUAAAAUUUCAAUUUAUUUUUAUUUACAUUUACAUUAUAUAAAAAAAUGUGUUAUUUAGCUGAUGCUUUUAUCCAAAGCGACUUACAAAUGAGGACAAUAGAAGUAAUCAAAACCAACAAAAGAGCAAUGAUAUACAAGUGCUAUACUAGUAUAUUAUU